AGGGUUCCGACAGGAGCGGCCUUGGGUCACAUGUGGCGGCAUCCAAUGUACUUCAUGUGUUCUCAGGUCGCCCCUGCCGGGCUUCC
rnacentral:pre_miRNA from 13 species